rnacentral:rRNA from 1 species
AAAACAUGUCUAUUUGAAGAUAUAAAAAGUCUAACCUGCCCACUGAUAAAAAUUUUUUAAAGGCCGCAGUAUUUCUGACUGUGCAAAGGUAGCAUAAUCGUUAGUUUUUUAAUUGGAAUCUUGUAUGAAUGGUUUGACGAGAAAAAAUCUGUCUUUAUGAUUAUUUAUUGAAUUUAACUUUUAAGUGAAAAGGCUUAAAUAAAUUAAAAAGACGAUAAGACCCUAUAAAACUUUAUGUUAAUUAAUUAUUUAGUAAAAUUUUAUUAUAUAAAUAUUUAGUGAUUAAUUAUUAUUUUAUUGGGGUGAUAGUGAUAAAAAGAUUAUUAACUGUUAGUUAAUUUAUGACAAAAAUUAUUGAAUAUAAAAUUUAAUAAAUGAUCCUUUUUAAAGAUUUAAAGUUUAAGUUACUUUAGGGAUAACAGCGUUAUUUUUUUUGAGAGUUCUUAUCGAGAAAAAAGUUUGCGACCUCGAUGUUGAAUUAAAAUAUCUAUAUAAUUGUAGCAGUUAUAUAAGAAGGUCUGUUCGACC